rfam:Camelus ferus unplaced genomic scaffold scaffold1713, whole genome shotgun sequence.
GGAGGAGUCGCUCAGUGGUAGAGCUCAUGCUUAGCAUGCAUGAAGUCCUGGGUUCAAUCCCCAGUGCCUCCA